CAUCUCCCAAGGCUAAAUACUCCCUAGUGACCGAUAGUGAACCAGUACCGUGAGGGAAAGGUGAAAAGCACCCCGGAAGGGGAGUGAAAUAGAUCCUGAAACCGUGUGCCUACAAGUAGUCAAAGCCCGUUAAUGGGUAAUGGCGUGCCUUUUGUAGAAUGAACCGGCGAGUUACGAUUUCAUGCGAGGGUAAGUUGAUGAGACGGAGCCGCAGCGAAAGCGAGUCUGAAUAGGGCGAAUGAGUAUGAGGUCGUAGACCCGAAACCAGGUGAUCUACCCAUGUCCAGGGUGAAGUUCAGGUAACACUGAAUGGAGG
rnacentral:rRNA from 1 species